rnacentral:rRNA from 1 species
UACGUAGGGUGCGAGCGUUGUCCGGAAUUACUGGGCGUAAAGAGCUCGUAGGCGGGACCGUAAGUCCGAGAGGAAAUCUCAAGGCUCAACUUUGGGGCUUUCUUGGAUACUGCGGUUCUUGAGGAUGAGAGAGGUAAGUAGAAUUCCCGGUGUAGCGGUGAAAUGCGUAGAUAUCGGGAGGAAUACCAGUGGCGAAGGCGGCUUACUGGCUCAUUCCUGACGCUGAGGAGCGAAAGCGUGGGGAGCAAACGGG